rnacentral:rRNA from 1 species
AAGAUUUAUCGCUUCGGGAGGGGCCCGCGUUCGAUUAGGUAGUUGGUGAGUAACGGCUCACCAAGCCGACGAUCGAUAGCUGGUCUGAGAGGAUGAUCACCACACUGGGACUGAGACACGGCCCAGACUCCUACGGGAGGCAGCAGUGGGAAUAUUGGACAAUGGGCGCAAGCCUGAUCCAGCAAUGCCGCGUGAGUAUGAAGGCCUUAGGGUUGUAAAGCUCUUUUGCCCGCGACGAUGAUGACAGCCCCGGCUAACUU